rnacentral:rRNA from 1 species
UACGUAGGGUGCAGGCGUUAAUCGGAAUUACUGGGCGUAAAGCGUGCGCAGGCGGUUUGCUAAGACAGGUGUGAAAUCCCCGGGCUUAACCUGGGAACUGCGCUUGUAACUGGCAAGCUGGAGUGUGGCAGAGGGGGGUGGAAUUCCACGUGUAGCAGUGAAAUGCGUAGAGAUGUGGAGGAACACCGAUGGCGAAGGCAGCCCCCUGGGCUAACACUGACGCUCAUGCACGAAAGCUGGGGGAGCAAACAGG